rnacentral:rRNA from 1 species
UACAGAGGUCCCAAGCGUUGUUCGGAUUUAUUGGGCGUAAAGGGUGCGUAGGCGGCAGUGUAAGUUGGACGUGAAAUCCUGGGGCUUAACCUCAGAAUUGCGUUCAAUACUGCAUUGCUAGGGCGCUGUAGAGGAGAUUGGAAUUUACGGUGUAGCAGUGAAAUGCGUAGAUAUCGUAAGGAAGACCAGUGGCGAAAGCGAAUCUCUGGGCAGCAGCCGACGCUGAGGCACGAAGGCCAGGGGAGCAAACGGG